GGGGGGCGGCUGGCCUCUGGUCGGAUGGCACCGGGGGCGGGGGCGGCGGUUCUCGGAGUCUGAAGCUUGCCAGCGCCCGUGUAAGGUGGGGUUGGCUAAGGACCGCAGACCCCUGCGGGACAGGCGCUGUCUCUGCUGGACGAGAUUACAGCUCUAAAACCUUAGGAGCUCCUGGAGGGGAAGGCGUGCACAUUUCUAAGAAAGAAGAAACACGCAUUCUUUGAAGGCCGUCCACACCUCACCAGCCUGGUCUACGUGCAGGGCAAGCAACAGUCCGGGAAGGAACCCGUCUCCCUCCUCUUUAAUACAACCUUUAAUACAACCCCUCAGGUUGCAGUGAACCCAACCAUAAAUUUGUUUUCUUCGCUACUUCGUUGUCCGAAAGCUUGGUCUGGAGCCAAGGAAGACCCCUGAACUUCUGAUUCUCCCGUCUUCAGCUCCUAAGUGCUGAGAUUACAGGUGUAGGAAUCAAAUUGUCUUUUUGCCUCAUACAGGCUCUGCGAGGGGCCCUUUGCCAGCUGCUGAUAGUUUAGAUCUGAGAACUCUGAGAGAGAAUAAAUGCCAGGGCCCAGAAAGAGAACAGAGCUCCAAGAAAGAAGAAGGCUGCUGGUGCUCCCCGCUACUGCUUAUGAUUGCUGUUGAUGUAGUUUGAUGAGAAGCUGAGGAUAUCCUGAAAUGAAGAUUGGACUUUCCACAAGGAACCAUACAAUCCGAACCAGUAAAAAGUAGCUAACAAAAA